UACGAAGGGGGCGAGCGUUGUUCGGAAUUACUGGGCGUAAAGGGCGCGUAGGCGGCUUGGCAAGUGGAAGGUGAAAUCCCUCGGCUUAACCGAGGAACUGCCCUCCAAACUGCUUCGCUUGAGACCGGGAGAGGUGAGUGGAAUUCCCAGUGUAGCGGUGAAAUGCGUAGAUAUUGGGAGGAACACCAGUGGCGAAGGCGGCUCACUGGACCGGUACUGACGCUGAUGCGCGAAAGCGUGGGGAGCAAACGGG
rnacentral:rRNA from 1 species